UACGAAGGGGGCUAGCGUUGUUCGGAAUCACUGGGCGUAAAGCGCACGCAGGCGGAUCGAUAAGUCGGGGGUGAAAGCCCGGGGCCCAACCUCGGAAUUGCCUUCGUUACUGUCGGUCUCGAGUCCGGGAGAGGGGAGUGGAAUUCCUAGUGUAGAGGUGAAAUUCGUAGAUAUUAGGAAGAACACCAGUGGCGAAGGCGGCUCACUGGCCCGGUACUGACGCUCAGGUGCGAAAGCGUGGGGAGCAAACAGG
rnacentral:rRNA from 1 species